UACGUAGGGUGCGAGCGUUAAUCGGAAUUACUGGGCGUAAAGCGUGCGCAGGCGGUUCGUUGUGUCGGUGGUGAAAGCCCCGGGCUCAACCUGGGAAUGGCCAUGGAAACUGGCGAACUGGAGUGUGGCAGAGGGGGGUGGAAUUCCGCGUGUAGCAGUGAAAUGCGUAGAUAUGCGGAGGAACACCGAUGGCGAAGGCAGUCCCCUGGGCCUGUACUGACGCUCAUGCACGAAAGCGUGGGGAGCAAACAGG
rnacentral:rRNA from 1 species